GUGGCAGAAGAUCAAGGUAAUGCAGCAACAGAAGAAGAGAGUGGUGGUUAAACGGAAGCUGUUAGUCACUUCAAGAACGUUUUUCUGCGGGGAGGGAGUCACUGAAGAAGGAUGAUUUCAGGUUGCCAUGAAGAAGCAGCCAAUCUUACGACCUGUCCACAUCUAUGUUCCCUAAAUAUGCCAAUGAUGUUGGGAAGGUUUAUUUGGUGAAUUUCUAGAAAAUACCUCCGGGUCACACUCUUCUGUCAGGCUCACCGAAGACUGAAAGAACGCAUGAGUCAGUGGCAACGAGGAGAACUCAACCAUAAACAAGCGAGACUGACAGACCGCGCUGAACACGAGGCGUUCCGAUCCCACAGGCCUCAGGAGAAUCCGCCGAAUGGCUGGGAGUUUGAAAAUUUUAUGAUCGAGAUUUUUAGAUUUAAUUGCCAACAGUCAGAAAGAACUCUCGCAGUGGGGGCGGAAGGCAGUGGAAGGGAACAGGGAAUGACAACCAGAUUCUUUUCAGAUGAAAACUCCAAACCCCCGCGAGGACAGAUCGAACUGGUUGAAGCUGAGCUGUGGCGGUGUCGGGGAGAUUAGGGCCGGACGCGGGAUACCUGAAAGGAGCUCGUUGGUUGAGGAA